UUGGAGGGCAAGUCUGGUGCCAGCAGCCGCGGUAAUUCCAGCUCCAAUAGCGUAUAUUAAAGUUGCUGCAGUUAAAAAGCUCGUAGUUGAAUUUCGGGACCAUCAUGUCGGUCGUGCCUCGGUACGUACUGGUAUUGUUGGUUUCUCCCUUCUGACGAAUCAUGAUGUCAUUUAUUUGGUGUUGUGGGGAAUCAGGACUGUUACUUUGAAAAAAUUAGAGUGUUUAAAGCAGGCUCACGCUUGAAUACAUUAGCAUGGAAUAAUGAAAUAGGACGUUUGAUUCUAUUUUGUUGGUUUCUAGGAUCGACGUAAUGAUUAAUAGGGAUAGUUGGGGGCAUUAGUAUUCAAUUGCCAGAGGUGAAAUUCUUGGAUUUAUUGAAGACUAACUGCUGCGAAAGCAUUUGCCAAGGAUGUUUUCAUUAAUCAAGAACGAAAGUUAGGGGAUCGAAGACGAUCAGAUACCGUCGUAGUCUUAACCAUAAACUAUGCCGACUAGGGAUCGGAUGAUGUUAAUUUUUUAAUGACUCAUUCGGCGCCUUACGGGAAAC
rnacentral:rRNA from 1 species